UAUAUAUAUUCCUUAUUUGGAGAGAGAGAAGAGAAUAUUAAAUGAAAGUUAAAGUUUUAGUGAGAGCACUUUCAAACUUUCAAAUAUAGUAUAUUUUACUCAUAAUUUAAAAUAUUAAAAAUUAAAAAAAUUUUAGAAAUGUAUAAUUAUUAAAUUCAAGUUUAAAAUUAUUUUAAUAUUCAUAUCUUUUGUUUGAAAAAAGAGAAAAAAAAGAACAUUAAAUUAAAAAUUAAACUAUGGGACAGAGGAAAUUAAGCGGCAUGCGCAUCGAACUAAAAAAAUCAUCUUGUGUUCGGCUUAUUUAUUAACAAGUUGACUAGAUAAAUAGUUGAAAGAAAAUUAAAAAAGAAAUAUAGAAUAUCAAUUUAAUAAUUGAAAUUUAUAUAAUAUAGGUCUCUUUACAUUUGAGUUGGCCUAAAAAUCAAAUAGCUAAUAGGAAUUUGUAAUAUAUAUACACAUACACGAGCUAUAUCGAGCCGAAUACGAACUAACUUACGAACAAUGAGCUAUAUUGCCUAUCCUAGUUGACAUAACCUUUUUGAAAUUUUUGUAAUAAUUUUAAAAUAAAAUUAAUGAGAUAAAUUACUAUAACAAAAUAUGUUUUAGACAAUACUUUUUAGACGACGCUUUAUUCUAGCAUUUUUAAUAUUAGGCAUGUGCCGACAUCACAAUUAAAUGUCGCCAAUAAACAUAUUUUUAUCAAAUAUUGAUAAAAAUUUUCCGACGCUAUAUUAAAAUAUCAGUAUAUUUAUCCCGUCAAGUUUACAUGAGUGGAUGUUUUACACGUAUGUAUAGGAUGCA
rnacentral:lncRNA from 1 species